UACGUGGGCAGCGAGCGUUGUUCGGAGUUACUGGGCGUAAAGAGUGCGUAGGCGGUUUUCUAAGUUUGGUGUGAAAUCUCCCGGCUCAACUGGGAGGGUGCGCCGAAGACUGGAAGGCUUGAGUAUGGGAGAGGUAAGCGGAAUUCCUGGUGUAGCGGUGAAAUGCGUAGAUAUCAGGAGGAACACCAAUUGCGAAGGCAGCUCGCUGGGACGUAACUGACGCUGAGACGCGAAAGCGUGGGGAGCAAACAGG
rnacentral:rRNA from 1 species